CCAAGAAGGAGGAAAAAGUGAAAGUGGUAGCCGCUCAGUCUUGUCCGACGUUUUGUAACCCCAGGGACUGUAGCCUACCAGGUUCCUCUGUCCAUGGGAUUCUCCAGGCAAUACUGGAGUGGGGUGCCAUUCCCUCCUCCAGGGGAUCUCCCCCAACCAGGGACUGAAUCCGGGUCUGGAUCUCCUGCACUGCAGGUGACAUAAGGAAAUCAACCCUGAAUUUUCAUUGGAAGGACUGAUGCUGAAGCUCCAACAUUUUGCCCACGUGAUGCAAAAGAUUGACUCAUUGGAAAAGACCCUGAUGCUGUGAAAGAUUGAAGGUCAACUCAUCCCUGGGUCACCUUAACACAGUCUCCCAAGACUUUCCCGGCGGUCCAGUGGUUAAGAUUCCAUGCUCUCAUGGCAGGGGGCCUGGGUUCUAUCCCUGGUCAGGGGAACUGGAUCGUAGGUGCUGCAACUAAGAGUGCAUAGGCCACAACUGAAGACCCCCUUGUGCUGCAACUAAGACCAGUGCAGUCAGAUAAAGAUGCAUACAUAUAUAAAUAUUAAAAAUAAAAAGACAGUAUCGUAUGUGCUACGAAGUUCCACAUGCUUUUUGUGAAUUAUUCUCAUCUUUCCCCGAAGAAUGGCCCGGCCCCUCUUCACUGCUCACUGAAGUC